UUUCCCUCAGGAUAGCUGGCACUCGCUUGAGCGAGUCUCAUCUGGUAAAGCGAAUGAUUAGAGGCCUUGGGGCCGAAACGACCUCAACCUAUUCUCAAACUUUAAAUGGGUGAGAUCUCUGGCUUGCUUGAACGUUGAAGCCACGAGAUUUUAUUUUGAUUUGGAUCAGAGUGCCAAGUGGGCCAAUUUUGGUAAGCAGAACUGGCGCUGUGGGA
rnacentral:rRNA from 1 species